AGCUUUUUGAUUCCGUGGUGAGAUUUCGUCAGACACCAACCCAUUAGGUUUGAUAAGACUUCCAAGAUAAGUGAAGUU
rnacentral:pre_miRNA from 1 species